CAUUCCGAGCUCAAAAUAUUCGGUUCGUUGAAAAUAAUUAAAAAUAUUACGAGGUUUAGUGUGUAACAAAAAAAUUGUUUUAUUCUAAGAACGAAAUGAAAGCACACUGUGUUAAUACGUUUAGAAAUUGCUCAGUAGUUCAUGAUCUAUCAACGAGUAAAGAUUACAGUACAAUAUUAUACAAAUUCUGAAAAAAAGCAAAUUCUUGAACUGAAACAGCAACAGUUAUCAGU
rnacentral:misc_RNA from 1 species